UAGAGAUCCUGCCCUCACGGGUAGACCUCCAACCCUGUGUAUUUAUACCUCGUUGCUUCGGCAGGCCGUCUAGGCUUCGGCUUAGCCAUGGGCUUCGGCUCGUGAGUGCCUGCCAGAAGACACCAAAACUCUUAAUAUAAUUGUCGUCUGAGUAAAAACUUAAUAAGUUA
rnacentral:misc_RNA from 1 species